GACGAACGCUGGCGGCGUGCUUAACACAUGCAAGUCGAACGGUGAAGCGCCUUCCUUUUUGGUGGGUGUGGAUGAGUGGCGAACGGGUGAGUAACACGUGAGUAACCUGCCCCCUUCUUCUGGAUAACCGCAUGAAAGUGUGGCUAAUACGGGAUAUUCUGGGUCUGUCGCAUGAUGGGUCUGGGAAAGAUAUUGUUUCGGUGGGGGAUGGGCUCGCGGCCUAUCAGCUUGUUGGUGGGGUGAUGGCCUACCAAGGCGGUGACGGGUAGCCGGCCUGAGAGGGUGGACGGUCACACUGGGACUGAGACACGGCCCAGACUCCUACGGGAGGCAGCAGUGGGGAAUAUUGCACAAUGGGCGCAAGCCUGAUGCAGCGACGCCGCGUGAGGGAUGGAGGCCUUCGGGUCGUGAACCUCUUUCGCCAGUGAAGCAGGCCUGCCUCGUUUGUGGGUGGGUUGACGGUAGCUGGAUAAGAGGCGCCGGCUAACUACGUG
rnacentral:rRNA from 1 species